AUGGAUUCAAUUCAUCAACAUUUGUUGCGAGCUCAACAACGUAUGAAAGCGCAAGGUGAUAAGCAUAAGACUGAACGCACAUUUGCUGUUGGUGACUCUGUUUUCCUCAAGUUGCAACCUUAUCUUCAGUCGUCGGUGGCUCCGAGAGCAAAUCACAAGCUAGCUUUCAAGUUUUAUGGGCCAUUUAAGAUUCUAGCUCGUGUGGGCGAAGUUUCUUAUGAGCUUGAUCUUUCGGCUACCAGUCGUGUGCACCCUGUCUUCCAUGUGUCUCUGCUGAAGCGUGUUCUAGCAUCGGAUUCUCAGGUUUUACCUCACCUGGCUCCUCCUGAUGCUCAUUUGCAGAUUCCUGAACAAGUGCUGCAACAGAGGGUGGUCCGCCGUGGCAAUAAUUUUGUAGUUCAAGUGUUGUUCCGAUGGAGUGAUUCCUCUGCGGAACUUGCUACGUGGAAAGACAAGGAGACGCUAAAACACAUGUUUCCACGAGCACCGGCUUGGGGUCAAGCCGUGUCUAAGGGACAUAUAGUGAUUAUUAUACGCCAAGUGACAUCAAAAGUGCGAGUUUCCGAAGAUGGAAUGUCUAAUGUUUUUUCGUCUGGGGAAUUAAUCGGACUAUUGCGAGCGGAACGAGCAAGGCGAGCUUUGGAUGAAUCAAUCUAUUAUCGGGCAAUCUUAUUGGGAAUAACAAGGGCUUCCCUGAAUACCCAAAGUUUCAUAUCUGAAGCAAGUUUUCAAGAAACUACUCGAGUUUUAGCAAAAACUGCCCUACGAGAUCGCAUUGAUUGA
rnacentral:rRNA from 1 species